GAUGAACGCUGGCGGCGUGCCUAAUACAUGCAAGUCGAGCGAACGGACGAGAAGCUUGCUUCUCUGAUGUUAGCGGCGGACGGGUGAGUAACACGUGGAUAACCUACCUAUAAGACUGGGAUAACUUCGGGAAACCGGAGCUAAUACCGGAUAAUAUUUUGAACCGCAUGGUUCAAAAGUGAAAGACGGUCUUGCUGUCACUUAUAGAUGGAUCCGCGCUGCAUUAGCUAGUUGGUAAGGUAACGGCUUACCAAGGCAACGAUGCAUAGCCGACCUGAGAGGGUGAUCGGCCACACGGGAACUGAGACACGGUCCAGACUCCUACGGGAGGCAGCAGUAGGGAAUCUUCCGCAAUGGGCGAAAGCCUGACGGAGCAACGCCGCGUGAGUGAUGAAGGUCUUCGGAUCGUAAAACUCGGUUAUUAGGGAAGAACAUAUGUGUAAGUAACUGUGCACAUCUGGACGGGACCGAAUCAGAAAGCCACGGCUAACUACGU
rnacentral:rRNA from 1 species